rnacentral:rRNA from 1 species
UACGGAGGGUGCAAGCGUUGUCCGGAUUUAUUGGGUUUAAAGGGUGCGUAGGCGGCCCGUUAAGUCAGUGGUGAAAGCCUCCAGCUCAACUGGAGAACUGCCAUUGAUACUGACAGGCUUGAGUACAGACGAGGUUGGCGGAAUUGAUUGUGUAGCGGUGAAGUGCAUAGAUACAAUCAAGAACUCCGAUUGCGUAGGCAGCUAACUAGGCUGUAACUGACGCUGAGGCACGAAAGCGUGGGAAGCGAACAGG